GACGAACGCUGGCGCCGUUCCUAAUACAUGCAAGUCGAGCGAGCUUGCCUAGAUGAUUUUAGUGCUUGCACUAAAUGAAACUAGAUACAAGCGAGCGGCGGACGGGUGAGUAACACGUGGGUAACCUGCCCAAGAGACUGGGAUAACACCUGGAAACAGAUGCUAAUACCGGAUAACAACACUAGACGCAUGUCUAGAGUUUGAAAGAUGGUUCUGCUAUCACUCUUGGAUGGACCUGCGGUGCAUUAGCUAGUUGGUAAGGUAACGGCUUACCAAGGCAAUGAUGCAUAGCCGAGUUGAGAGACUGAUCGGCCACAUUGGGACUGAGACACGGCCCAAACUCCUACGGGAGGCAGCAGUAGGGAAUCUUCCACAAUGGACGAAAGUCUGAUGGAGCAACGCCGCGUGAGUGAAGAAGGGUUUCGGCUCGUAAAGCUCUGUUGGUAGUGAAGAAAGAUAGAGGUAGUAACUGGCCUUUAUUUGACGGUAAUUACUUAGAAAGUCACGGCUAACUACGUGCCAGCAGCCGCGGUAAUACGUAGGUGGCAAGCGUUGUCCGGAUUUAUUGGGCGUAAAGCGAGUGCAGGCGGUUCAAUAAGUCUGAUGUGAAAGCCUUCGGCUCAACCGGAGAAUUGCAUCAGAAACUGUUGAACUUGAGUGCAGAAGAGGAGAGUGGAACUCCAUGUGUAGCGGUGGAAUGCGUAGAUAUAUGGAAGAACACCAGUGGCGAAGGCGGCUCUCUGGUCUGCAACUGACGCUGAG
rnacentral:rRNA from 1 species